UACGUAGGGUGCGAGCGUUAAUCGGAAUUACUGGGCGUAAAGCGUGCGCAGGCGGUCUGUUAAGACCGAUGUGAAAUCCCCGGGCUCAACCUGGGAACUGCAUUUGUGACUGCAUAGCUUGAGUGCGGCAGAGGGGGAUGGAAUUCCGCGUGUAGCAGUGAAAUGCGUAGAUAUGCGGAGGAACACCGAUGGCGAAGGCAAUCCCCUGGGCCUGCACUGACGCUCAUGCACGAAAGCGUGGGGAGCAAACAGG
rnacentral:rRNA from 1 species